rnacentral:rRNA from 1 species
GACAACGAUGGAUAGGGGUUCUGAGAGGAAGGUCCCCCACAUUGGAACUGAGACACGGUCCAAACUCCUACGGGAGGCAGCAGUGAGGAAUAUUGGUCAAUGGACGAGAGUCUGAACCAGCCAAGUAGCGUGAAGGAUGACUGCCCUAUGGGUUGUAAACUUCUUUUAUAUGGGAAUAAAACGUUCCACGUGUGGGAUUUUGUAUGUACCAUAUGAAUAAGGAUCGGCUAACUCCGUGCCAGCAGCCGCGGUAAUACGGAGGAUCCGAGCGUUAUCCGGAUUUAUUGGGUUUAAAGGGAGCGUAGGUGGAUUGUUAAGUCAGUUGUGAAAGUUUGCGGCUCAACCGUAAAAUUGCAGUUGAAACUGGCAGUCUUGAGUACAGUAGAGGUGGGCGGAAUUCGUGGUGUAGCGGUGAAAUGCUUAGAUAUCACGAAGAACUCCGAUUGCGAAGGCAGUUCACUGGACUGCAACUGACACUGAGGCUCGAAAGUGUGGGUAUCAAACAGGAUUAGAUACCCUGGUAGUCCACACAGUAAACGAUGAAUACUCGCUGUUUGCGAUAUAC